UCAUAAAGGUUCUACAAAAAUAGAUCAUGCAUUCAGUAGGGGGGGUUUCUCUACUCUUAAAUGUAAAAUAUACUUGCGUUAUUGCAUUCACAAAAAUAUGGCUACAAGCACACAGACACCGAGAUACCACUCUGAUGAUGUAACGUCAUACGAACCAUACGCAUAAAAAUGUGAUCUUGAGCUUACUGACAUCCCCAGCUCUAUUUUUUAAAUUAGAUUUAUAUGUUUUCUUUUAUUUUAACAUUUGGCUGUAUAUACAGUUAUGGCCCGCAACAGCCUCCUAUAUACCAUACUCACACAUACACAAGCCAUGAUAGCGUGUCUAAGUGAUUCUCCACGAGAUGCCAGACAGAGCUGAGUCCUCCUUGCUAAUGCACCACAUGCUCUCCUCAACACCACUGAUCACGGCUGACUGUCUGGUUGGCUUACAGCUCAACCCAAAGCCCCAUGUUGGGAUUGAACAUGCUGGCUGGUAUCAAAGUCAGGCGCCACCCGAAGACAUGGCCCUGCAUCAAUAUGGCUACCAUUUGUGUACCAUCUUCUUUACUUCUUCCUCCCAAGUUCAGAAAGACACUGAGGUGGGGGGAGGAGGUUGGAGUUGAGAGAAACAGAGUGUGGGCUGACAGAGUGAGGAUAAAGGUAGAAUGGAUAGAUGCUGCUGCCAGGACCUGUCAGCGGUGACAAAUGGAUGUUUCGAAGAUGAAGCAAGCUGGUCCACUCAACGUUAGCUUGGCGCAGUAACACGGCUAGCUCCUACCAAAAGUGGAGGAAUGUGACUCCGGUAUUCAACGGUAUAUGAGACAUGAUUACCACCAGUGGGCCUCCUCCUGGAUGAUCCUCGCAUUCUUCUCCCUCCCCUUCUCCACUUCUCUGAUGUCCGCUGCCCUCCAGAGCAUGUAAAUCUCACCAGUAAAUAUUUCAUCAGGGUCAUGCAGAGUUUCCCCUUCUCUGGUGAGGUUAAUAAAAUUCGGAGCGUGUCUUUGCCAUCAGGAUCCGUCUAAUUAAAUCAGGAGAGAAAGCUUGCGGUACACACCUUCGCUUGCUUGCUUACCUAGUGCCAUACUUUCCAAAGAUACUGGAGGAAAAACGAAGAAGGGCUGCAGUGAUAAUUGAUGGGAGAGAGGGUCCGAAACUGCUCUCAAAAGAGAUUUAAGGCUGUUUUGUCCCUGAGCAGUUCAUCAAAUGAGAGCACCUCGACUAAUGGCUUUAAGGAAGUCAUUUGGACAAAAGUGUCUAUGUUUUGUCAGCCGUUCCACAUUAAGUGUCUCCAAACGUAUUAGACAGUUGCACUGAGGUCUAGAUACAACUGAUGACACAAAAGCCACCAAUCAAAUACAUUGAGAGAACAAGAGAGCAUUGAUUUCCAUGUGACAGGGAUUUCUGAAGUGCAAUAAUACGUUGCAACACAAUUCUUUUUGGCUUUGUAUUACAACAUCUACAAACUAUUACAUAGCAACAGCCAACAACUAUGCAUGUAUGAUUAUUACAUGAACAACUGAGGGAGGUAUCGAAGAAUGUAAUCUAGAAAACAAAGGAGACAGAGCUACUCCGACUCUUGCUGUGUUAAAAGGAAUAUCCCAAAACAAUAAAAGGGUUGGUCAUCUAUUAUCAAGGCUACUAGAGGUUAGGGAAAUGAGUGGAGUGAAAAAAUUCUUGAGGGAAUAAUCAAACUGUUUUAUUUUAGCAGGAUUAAUCCAAGAGAGACGGUUUUAAUUUCCAAAUCCCCCACAGCGGUGACCCAAAAUUAAUUGUUCCUUUUGCUACAGAGGGAGACCCCUUGAGACAGACAGAGGAACGUCAGAAAAAAAAUUCUGGGUAAUUACACAAGUGUAGAGCACUUUCCCGUGGAGUGGGAAUCUCGUUGGCCGUGGAUUAUGUGAGUUUAAUGGAAACGAUGAGCUGACCUGAGGCUGAGGAGGAGAGAAUUAGAGUGUUGACAUACAGGACUGCUGAAGCUGAGAAGGCUCCCACAAAUCAUGAGUGUCAGCAGCCCGGGCAAAUUAGGCAUGUCUAGCAAUGAAACAUUAUUCAUGGUUGGACAAUAUGUGCUGUGCAGAGACGGGUAUAAUUUUUCAAAACUUUGUGACCGUUACCAAUCCAGGCACAUAUAUGGGCAGAACAUUAGGUGAGGAAAAACAUCUGUGGACUGCAGUAUUUAGAUGGAAAAAUGCAAAAACUGGUGCUAUUGCUGUUUCUGGUUUGUUUGGUUCAUUAACAACAUUCUAAAAUAUUUCUAAAAAUACAUAUCAGACUUUGUCAGCAGCACAAUAAAGUCCUGGAUUUAUUUCCAUCAUUAUCCCUGGUAAACAUUUCCUUAAGGUAGAUAUACAAUCAGAUAUACAAUAACAAGGUUCAGUUCAAUAACAAGGUACAGCACUAUGUUUAGCACAUAUCAAAGUACAACAACUGUAUAUAAAACUUAUUUUAACGCAGCUCCUUUGCAGAGAUAUCCACCAAAACAACACGAUUAGCAUAUUUCCUCUGCUGGAACUUUUUUUUUAGGAUCUCAGGAACCUUACUUGCAUUUCAACCAGAGGAAUAAUGGUUUAUAUUUAGUUCCUGGACCAUAGUUCCUCUCUAGAUGUAGGUAUUUCUAGUGGUCCAGGGACUAUAGUUGCAGGGUGCUGAACUUCACUCACUAAUCAAACACAAACCUCACGGCUGCUACAACUUGCAUAUAGCUAUAUUCACACAGUAGGCAAGUGCUGGGUGCCAUGCUAGGAUAAGUUGGAUAUUUCUUGUAAUGUUGAUUGAUGUUAAACACAAAUGUUAUGUGGUAAAUUAAUAAUAAUAAUUAAAAGAGGGAAUUCAAGCAUAAAAACAAAAACACAGAGAGCAGCAAUGGAGAGAAAAAGGUAGUGAAGGAGAGAAACAACCCUUUAAAUGUAAAACACAUGAAGAAAGUCCUGAAGGUCUUCUGGCCAAAUAACAAGAAUACAACAUACUUUUUGUUAGUCCUGAUUGGACGUUGAUCAAUUCUCCAGCUUCUUGCAACUGUUGGUUCAGCUCAUCUGCAUCCCACUAUGUAAAGCACACCUGGCUAUGGGAGCCUUUUAGCUCAUACUUGCAGAGUAUGCUUAGUAGUUUGUUCCCACCACAAACAAACCACUCCAGAAUUUGUUUGGGAUUGGUCCAACACUGCCAUGGUUGUUUUGGUCAGCACCCGAGUUUGAUUGCUGUAUUCAGACCUACCCAAAUAAAUCACACCAAGGGGGGAAACAAACUAGCAUCUGAUUCAAUCGGACUUAACAACCCAGGUUUGAAAAUGCCCUUAGUUCCUGAGUUUAGUUUCUGGGCUCCAUAGAACCUGGAACUAUUUGGUCAAAAAGGGGCUGAUGCUUAAUUCAGUUAAUCAUACAAGUCAAAAGGUAUGCUCUUGAGAAUAUCUGUACUGUGUUACACACACUGAAACACAAAAUAGGUCACACAGAGUCAAAGGUUACAAACUGUUGGCUUCUGAACACAACACUGCAACAUCAUAGACUAUGCAACAAUCAUUGAACAUAAACUAUGUAGCAGAGUUGGUGAUCUUCAAAUAGGUGAAGAGAAAUUGUCCAUUAGUCCAAGACUGAUUGUCCUCACCUGUAUGAGGAUCACCAACUCUUCUAUCUUGUGUGAUUUCUGCAUUAAAGUGCUAUUAACAGCAACAGCAGCAUAUACACAGAGUCCAAUUCCACAGCAAAUACAAAGCUAACAUUGGAGAAGUGGUCAUUAAAUCUAAAUACACAGAUUAAAAGAGUAGUAAAAUAGUUGAAAUCAAUCAUUGGCUUAACAUAGUGUAGUGCUGCUUAUCCGAUCAGUCUGAUUAUUUAUCAUUUUGUAGGAGACCAUUAUUGGAAUGUUAAGAACUUCAGCAGCCAAAAGAAAAACAUAACACACAGAGCGGCAAAGUAAGACAUCAUAACUGAGAAAUAACAGUAAUGAUAAAUAAUCAAUCAUAUCUGAUUAGCACUCAGGGAGCCUGUAGUGUUACUUCGGCUGUAUUUAUUUCAUACAAAGUCCUGCUGUUUCUCCUUGCUGUAUUGAAAAGAGCCUGGAGACUGAGCUAGUAAAAACUAGUCAUCUCCUCUUCCUCGUAUUGCUCCUGUAAUAAAAUUUCCCACAUCAUUGGAAUAACAGAUCACCCCCAUUUCACAUAGACACAGACCCUACUUCAUCCGAUUUACUGUGCCAGUAGCUUCCACAGUGAGCUACAGUGGGACCAUCAUGGAAGGAUUUUUGAUGUGUGUGUGGUUUACAUUUGCCAGGGGACUAUAUGCUUCCUGCCUUCUUGAGUGUUAUGCUUCUUUAGGAUGCCUCUUGGAUGCUUUAAUGCACUAUUAACUUGUUUAGCUAAUAUAUUUCUUCUCUUGCCUCAUCUUUUUUAUCUCAGAAAGAUGCUAUGCACUGCGCCCGUCUCCACAUGGAGCCAUAUCUGGGAAUAACAAAAAUUUCUCACACAAAGACGUGAAACAGUGGUGAAAAUUAAAAAUUAGCAAUUUUGCUCUUGGUGAAUUUUGGCAGCGCAGAGGAAAAAAAUAAAAUAAAAUCAACAUCUCCCAGUGUUGUAUAAUCAGGUUUGCUCUCAAGAAAUAACAUGUCACAUUCCCUUAGUCUCAAGUGAGUUACAGUCUUUGUCGAAGAGAAGGAGAUGGUGUACAAGUUCACCUAUCGUGCCUUAGCUUCAGGCUUUUAGAGACUUUCUGUUGUCUUUUAGAAAAUCCUUAAAGAGUAGACAUGAAUCCAGAGCUGUCACUGUAGCUAAGUCAAACACACCCCAUUCAACCCUCUCCCCCCCGAGGUGGUGUGAUGAAAGAAAAAGGUCGAGCCUGUGUUAAUAGCUUACAAAUCUGUCUCAAAACCUUGAGUGAAAUCGAGCAGUAAGUGUAAUAGGGAUGUGCCGAGUUUCUCAGGAUUUCCUCUAUGAGCGCUUUUUAUUCCAUGCGAGAGAGAAUCGGGUCAAAAUAGGACAGAGUUGGCGAAUAUACAGUGGACAUCCCCUGCUGUAACGAUAAUCCUCAGAUAAUAAGUUAGUAGUAAUGACACACCAUUAAUCAAAUGAGAACUCAUUACUACCCGUAUCUCCAUUUGCAUCUGCAUUACAGCAAUUAGGGGAACAAAGCGAUUCUGCCAUAUCCAAAGCACUGUGAAUGAAUUAAGAUGAUCUGAUUACACUGAAGCGUGUGGAAUGUAUACUGGCAGGAUUUCAAUGAAAUGAAUACCAAGCAUUAGUAAAGCUAUAUCAGCUAUGGACUCCUAGUCUUACAGUUAAUGUUGGAACGAUGGUGCCUCACUGUGUGGACAAUAAGAAAAGACUUUAUAGGCAGCUGCCAUCCAUCCGUGACAAUGACAAAUAGGUUAUUUUAUUAGCUUUUUUGUAAUUUUGUUGAUAAUUAGAUAAAUAGAUUUACUUUACUGUACUGUUUACCUACAAUCUGGCCAGUGUAACCAGGAACUUGUUACAUGUAAUUCAAUAGUUUUUUGGUAUACUGUUUAUCAUAUAAUCAAAUACCCAGCGCAUUUACAGUUUGAAACGCUAACCAUACCCUCACUCAUCACUUGAGUAGAACAGACCCCUUGUUAAUGUCAUCACUAACACUUGUGCUUUUCCUGUUAUGACAAGUUCAAAUGUCUGCGGUGAAAAAGGUCUAUUGUAUGCUGUACUCUUGAAUAAUGUAAUUAUUUCUUACUCAUGUAGACAGCAGCAAUGGGCAUAAAGUUAAGGAUUUGAAGUAUGGCACUAGGCUUGUAACAAGUUCCUGAGUCACACCCACACAUCUUCAUAGGAUCAGGAUUGAAAAAAAAUGUCCAAAAUGAGAGGUCUGAGAUCUGCCCACUCUCCCUCACCCUAAUAAGGUUUAAAUUUUUUCACUUCACUGCCUUUGGAAUUGCAUCACAUAGUCAUGUAACAAUGAACCUCGAGCAAAAACCAUGUCAGAAAAAUAUUUUUAAAAAAUGUUAUAUGUGUGAAUUUGACACACUUUUAACAAUGUCAGUUGAGGAAUUAAGGCUAUCAAAUGAGAAAAAUGCACCAAUAUAAUAUUACGUGAGGCACACUGACUGAAAUUAAGAAGACAUUUGAUGAUAUUAAUUCCAAAAAACUAAUUGGACAAAUCAAGUGUCAACGACUGCAGCAGGAAAGGGUCAAGUAGAAUUUACUGUCAUGAAUAUUAAAAAUAAAAACUGCCUAGUAAGUGAUCACAUGAUGACUUUUGUACAUCUGAACCUGCUGCAACUGCAUGUUUUAGAUUCAAUGCACCUUCACUCUUCAAUAAAUCUUUUAAAUGAGUUACUUUUCACUUUAGAUACAUUUUUAUACCAAUAUUUCUAUCUCAAAAAUAUCAUUAAAUAAACAGUGCACUUCUACUUAAGAUAAAUUUGUACUUUUCCUGUUAUUGUUUGCCAUGUAUACUAGAGAUGGGUAUGUCUCUAAAUUUUAAAUGCCCUUCUAUUUCUAAAUUUCUACUGAAUCUCGAAAAAUCCAUUUAAUUAUGUUUUGUCUUGUUUUUUUUAAUACUCCAACUCUGGGUAGCACCAAGGAACAUUCCUGCUCUCAACAAAUCCAACCAGAGAAAUGGAAAGUGAAAGCUAAAAUAAAAGGUUCUCAUUCAUUUCAUAGUGUCUUAGUUUAUUAGGAUCAAGUUGAGAACUUUCUCGGUGGCUGCGGCUCAAAUUAACCUGAUAGGAUAAUGUGAGGCACGGAGCCGUCACAGAGCCUUCAAGGAGGCCUGUCUGAGGGCUGAGGAGGAGUGAAGAGGGUAUCAGGUGGGUGAGAGCCCAAUGGAAGCAGCCACGAGUGAGGAGUGGCCUGCUGACCUUCAUUAAAACGCCUCAGUGAGCUAUGCCAAGCAGUGUGCUGUGUGUGAUAGCGCCUGUUUGCCCACACAGACGGUGACAAAUUGCAUCUAGGAAAGGAGAUAGGGCAGUUAUUAGAGCUGUUCGUAUCAAACAUGGAAACGGGAGAGAGAAUGAGAGGAAAAGAGCAAAGAUGAUUAAACAGCGACCCAGGGAAACAUACAUUUCAUGUGAAGAAGUGUCUUGUCUACAGUUUGCCUCAUUAACAGAUGAUGCAGAUGGGUUAGUGAAGACCUUUUUUGAUGUCUGACCAUUUAAACACCUCACAAACAGUCCGUCAUGAAAUUUUUUUGUAGUAUCUUCAUGCAUACAGAAUUCAUAAAUAGGAGAAAAACAGCUUCCAUUCUCUGUGCUAUCAAACUUAGCAGUGAUAAAAGGAGAGGUGCAUUUGUGUGUGUGUCUGUGUCUGAGCCUGUGUACUUCGACCCAAGAGACUCCCCUGAAGCAAUGAGGUGUGGGUAGAAAUCAAACUUCAUUAGAUCCACAGGUAGUAAGCCCUACGGCGAGCCAGGCAGGCAGUAGAGAAGAAUAGAACUGAACUAAACCACAGAAAACAUGCAAUUGUCUACCAAUUUUAUUUAUUAAUCUUUAUCUUUUUUGUGAUAACUGUGAUAUAAACUAGUAGGGAUGUGCAGAGAGCCCAGUAUUUGUAUUUGUAUCUGUAU